rnacentral:lncRNA from 1 species
AUCUCGUCUGAUGAGCUCCUCGAUCUCAUCUCGAAGCUGAAUACACUCCUUCGUGUCGUGGCCGUGGUCACGAUGAUAGAGGCAAAACUUGUUAGGAUUGUACUUCUCGGGGUGUGUACGCAUCCUUUCCGGCCUUGGCAGCUGCUCUCUAACCUCUAUCAGCACUUGAGUUUUCGAUGUGUUGAGAGGGGCGUAGCUGUGGAAUCUUUCC